UCUGUUCGGUCACCCAAAGGGAUUUCACCUAAAGCCAGGGAAUAACUUUUUGGCAAGUUUUGCUGAAGUUUUUCAGGUUGGUUUUCUGAUAUUUCUCAAUAUACUGGCAUGUGAGAAGUUAAUUUACAGAGUUCUCUGAAAGGAAGUUAAAGAAGAGAAAUACAGUCCAACCCAUCCUGCUUUAGAGAAAUGGAGUGUAGAGCAAGAGCACAGACCCAGUGGUACGUGCAAGAGGCAGGUAUGGAUUCAGGAAUGCUGAAGCCUUGUUGACAGCUUCAGGUUUUAAACCACAUAAUUUUCCAAGUAGAAAAUGCUUGUGAGUUAUACUCAUCUCCCCCACGUACACGUCCAGGGCUGUUUUGUCCAGACCUGCCACGAAAUAAAUGGCCAGUGAUUUAAAACUGAACUAUUCCACCUUUACCUGCCCAGGCAGUACCUGGCAGCAAGCAGAAAAACACCUCGCAGUUCAGCACAGGACUAGUCUCAAACCUCCUGGUCUCAAAGUACAUAAUAGAUGUGCUUCUCUCACCCACUCAAAAUAUUCCUAAUUUGUCUGGUGAACUCCACUACCUCACAGCCUGUUGCUCGAGACUAAGGAGGAGAAGGAAGAGGCUCAUUGCACAGGUACAAACAUGUGCCUGGAGACGGAACUGCUCCCAGUGGUAAAAUGCAAUUUGGCUGGAGGAAGAACUGCAAGCCAAGGGCCAGCUGACAAUGGGAACCCGGCUCUUCCUGGCACCUGGGACUGUUCUGGUAUGCAGUUGGAAGCAGCAGUCUGGGGAGCUGCUGACUUGCAGCAGCAAUCGUGGCUGAAGGAUCCUUAAUCGGGAGCUUUGGUUCGCAUUCCCAUUUCCAACACAGCCUCCAGAGACCACGGGGGUAUGCAUAACUUGGGGAAGAGGAAAGGCUCCACAGGUGAGAUGGAGAGGCUGCACAGCCAAAUCACUGAAACCCAAAGAAUUAAUCAGGUGAAGUUACACUGUGAGCAGCACCCAGGCCUUGAUUACAGCCUGUCAUCAAGGGAACCACAGAACUUGGGCAAAAAAAAAAAAACAUUACAAGAGGCUUAGCAUUUAAUGCUCUAAAGUAGUAAAUCCACAGCAAAUCCUCCUGAAUCUAAAUAUGCCUAAGACAUAUUUUAUCUUAUUUUUUAAAGUUUUCUCGAAUGCCAUCUUACACUCCCAAACUAAGCUCCACUGUUGCUUUUGCUUUCUCAGUAGUAUGCAAAUUGGGUUACAUCCCAUGCCUCGAGUGCCCUUUUGGCAUCCCAAAAGCUCCUUCCAAUAAACAAGUCCAUAUGCACCUUGGGAUCACCUUCUGGCUUAUUUCUCCUAAGACUGGUGUGAAAGCUAAACUUGGUCAAAAGCCUGCCUGGGUUUUUGGCAAAACCAAGGGUGUUAAUGGAAAACAACCCCAGUCCACAUGGGAAGAAAAUAAUCCCAGUUUUAACAUGAAAUGGAAGUUUUACCAACGCCUCUGGACCAAAAGAAAACAAGGAGCUGUAACAUCACUUACUUCCACAAGAGAAUUCCCACUGUAAACUGAUGGAGCUCCUACAGAUUCCGGAUAGGAAGAGGA